GGCACAGUUUCGAAGAAGAGCAGGGGAGUCAUCCCUGGUGCCUUGGCCAAUAUUUAUCCCUCAACCAACAUCACAGAAGCAGACUACCUGGUCAUUUUCACAUUGCUGUUUUGGGAGCUUGCUGUGCAGAUUGGCUGCCUUGGUUUCCGACGUUACAACGGUGGCAACUCUUGAAAGAUUCUCCAGUGACUGUAAAGCAUUUCAGGAUGUCCUAAGGUUGUGAAAGAUGCACUGAACACUCGGAACAAGCAAGUUAUAUGCACCACGCUGAAAAUCCUGCAGCACCUCGUUGUGUCAGGAGAUAUGGUGGGUGAGGCCCUGGUACCUUACUAUCGACAGAUAUUACCUAUCCUGAACAUAUUUAAAAACAUGAAUGUGAAUAUAAAAGAUCCCAAGGCACAGUUCUGAAGAAGGGCAAGGGAAGAUGUCCUCGCAAGUAUUUAUCCCCAGUCAUCACAAAAAUAGAUUAUUAUCUGGUCAUUAUCACGCUUCUGUUGCUGGGAGUUUGCUAGUGCACAAAUUAUCUGCAUUACAUUACAACAGUGAUUACACUUCAAAAGUACUUAAUUGGCUGUAUAGCGGUCUGCAACAUCCCGAGAUCAUGAAGGGCGCUACAAAAAUGCAAGUUUUUCUUUUUUUUUAUAAUUCAGAGUUGGCCCUAUCAAGGUAUGCAUCUCAUUAAUUAUCUAAUAUGCCUCUGCAGCCCUUUCAAAGAAAUACUAGCUUAGGUGCAGAAUUUGUGCUUGAUGGAUUCAUUUUCACUAUUAAAAAGGUGAUGUGAUCUUGAAUGAACUUUUCGGCCAAAUCAAGGAACUGCGCCAGAAAAUUACUUAACAUCAUUUCAGUCUCAUGUACAAUGCAUGUGCAUCAUAUGCAUGAAAGGAGCCAGGGAUGUUCCAAAGCUAGGUGCAUUUGGUUACCAUAGCUUGUGUAUCAGAAAUUUUACAAUGGAAUAGCGUUGCUGCAUCACAUACUCUGGAACACAGUGAAUGAAGAUUGCUGAGAAUCGUGUUAAAAUUACGACAUGUAGAGAACAGGGAAGUUCAGGAUAUUUGCAGUGCUCUUGUGUCCCUCCUUCAGUUCCUUCUUUCUUCCCAGCUCUUUCCCUGGACUCUUUUCUCUCUCCCUCUCUCUCCCUCUCACUCUGGCAAAAUACAUCUUGAGCUCUGUUUUCCGCUCCUUUUUGCUUCUUACAGGAGUCCGAGAAGGGCUGAUCACGCUGAGGCACUCUGGGCACGACUCACUAGGAUAACUGAACCGGCACUAUUUUUGAGCAGGUCUAUACAGUGGCACUGGAGUAAUGCCAACACCACUGUGAGCAAAACACACUCCACAAUUGUCCUCCCCAAGAGGACAGCACCACAAAUGCAAACGGAACAUUGAGACUAUACCUUUUUUUGUCAGAACAUGUUCUAGCCUUUAGCAGAAUUUGUGAACUGUUUCAAGUGUAAUAGCGGGCCAGGUGAUCUCUCUCAGAGAUCAGCAGAUGGGAGAACGAACAUGGUUGUAAACAGGUCACUCUCUUCAGUUGCAGUCCUUAUCAAUUUUCACUAAACAAAUUCUUCACUAAAAAUCUAUUGCCGAUCAGCUUAUAUCGAAACUUACCUGACUUAUCAGCCCUUGUGGCUUCCCAUAAUUUGGUGUUUUGUUUGUGUGUUUGACAAGGUUUGGUGUGACAUAUACUUCAACCACACACUCUGACUUAUUAAAGCUUCUGUAUUCUUGAGGCUGUAAGAUAAGCUGUUUUAAUAAAAAUGAAAACCUUCAACAAUUUGUGAACCUGUGGCCAUUCCCCAGAUGGCCCUGGCUAACAAUUUUAAAGCCUAAAAUACACUUCAGUCCAAAAACCACAUGUAGCAUUAUAGUUGGAGCUCUCUGUCAAUGUGAGUUGCUCCCUAUAAAACAUGUAUGAUUUUGUGGCAAUUAAAAUUUCCCUUCAUAAAAGAAUGGGGAAUUUGGAAAUUUAUGAAUCUUCCAGGAAAGAAAAUAAACUUGGCUGAGCUGGAAAUUGAAUCUAUCCAUCGUACCAACAAUAAUAAAAGAUUUCUCAAAUUCAU